UACGUAGGGUGCGAGCGUUGUCCGGAAUUACUGGGCGUAAAGAGCUCGUAGGUGGUUUGUCGCGUUGUUCGUGAAAACUCACAACUCAAUUGUGGGCGUGCGGGCGAUACGGGCAGACUGGAGUACUGCAGGGGAGACUGGAAUUCCUGGUGUAGCGGUGGAAUGCGCGGAUAUCAGGAGGAACACCGGUGGCGAAGGCGGGUCUCUGGGCAGUAACUGACGCUGAGGAGCGAAAGCGUGGGGAGCGAACAGG
rnacentral:rRNA from 1 species